GGGUUGUGAGGUUAAGCGACUAAGCGUACACGGUGGAUGCCCUGGCAGUCAGAGGCGAUGAAGGACGUGCUAAUCUGCGAUAAGCGUCGGUAAGGUGAUAUGAACCGUUAUAACCGGCGAUUUCCGAAUGGGGAAACCCAGUGUGAUUCGUCACACUAUCAUUAACUGAAUCCAUAGGUUAAUGAGGCGAACCGGGGGAACUGAAACAUCUAAGUACCCCGAGGAAAAGAAAUCAACCGAGAUUCCCCCAGUAGCGGCGAGCGAACGGGGAGCAGCCCAGAGCCUGAAUCAGUGUGUGUGUUAGUGGAAGCGUCUGGAAAGGCGCGCGAUACAGGGUGACAGCCCCGUACACAAAAAUGCACAUGCUGUGAGCUCGAUGAGUAGGGCGGGACACGUGGUAUCCUGUCUGAAUAUGGGGGGACCAUCCUCCAAGGCUAAAUACUCCUGACUGACCGAUAGUGAACCAGUACCGUGAGGGAAAGGCGAAAAGAACCCCGGCGAGGGGAGUGAAAAAGAACCUGAAACCGUGUACGUACAAGCAGUGGGAGCACAGAGCAAUCUGUGUGACUGCGUACCUUUUGUAUAAUGGGUCAGCGACUUAUAUUCUGUAGCAAGGUUAACCGAAUAGGGGAGCCGAAGGGAAACCGAGUCUUAACUGGGCGUUAAGUUGCAGGGUAUAGACCCGAAACCCGGUGAUCUAGCCAUGGGCAGGUUGAAGGUUGGGUAACACUAACUGGAGGACCGAACCGACUAAUGUUGAAAAAUUAGCGGAUGACUUGUGGCUGGGGGUGAAAGGCCAAUCAAACCGGGAGAUAGCUGGUUCUCCCCGAAAGCUAUUUAGGUAGCGCCUCGUGAAUUCAUCUCCGGGGGUAGAGCACUGUUUCGGCAAGGGGGUCAUCCCGACUUACCAACCCGAUGCAAACUGCGAAUACCGGAGAAUGUUAUCACGGGAGACACACGGCGGGUGCUAACGUCCGUCGUGAAGAGGGAAACAACCCAGACCGCCAGCUAAGGUCCCAAAGUCAUGGUUAAGUGGGAAACGAUGUGGGAAGGCCCAGACAGCCAGGAUGUUGGCUUAGAAGCAGCCAUCAUUUAAAGAAAGCGUAAUAGCUCACUGGUCGAGUCGGCCUGCGCGGAAGAUGUAACGGGGCUAAACCAUGCACCGAAGCUGCGGCAGCGACACUGUGUGUUGUUGGGUAGGGGAGCGUUCUGUAAGCCUGCGAAGGUGUGCUGUGAGGCAUGCUGGAGGUAUCAGAAGUGCGAAUGCUGACAUAAGUAACGAUAAAGCGGGUGAAAAGCCCGCUCGCCGGAAGACCAAGGGUUCCUGUCCAACGUUAAUCGGGGCAGGGUGAGUCGACCCCUAAGGCGAGGCCGAAAGGCGUAGUCGAUGGGAAACAGGUUAAUAUUCCUGUACUUGGUGUUACUGCGAAGGGGGGACGGAGAAGGCUAUGUUGGCCGGGCGACGGUUGUCCCGGUUUAAGCGUGUAGGCUGGUUUUCCAGGCAAAUCCGGAAAAUCAAGGCUGAGGCGUGAUGACGAGGCACUACGGUGCUGAAGCAACAAAUGCCCUGCUUCCAGGAAAAGCCUCUAAGCAUCAGGUAACAUCAAAUCGUACCCCAAACCGACACAGGUGGUCAGGUAGAGAAUACCAAGGCGCUUGAGAGAACUCGGGUGAAGGAACUAGGCAAAAUGGUGCCGUAACUUCGGGAGAAGGCACGCUGAUAUGUAGGUGAAGUCCCUCGCGGAUGGAGCUGAAAUCAGUCGAAGAUACCAGCUGGCUGCAACUGUUUAUUAAAAACACAGCACUGUGCAAACACGAAAGUGGACGUAUACGGUGUGACGCCUGCCCGGUGCCGGAAGGUUAAUUGAUGGGGUUAGCGCAAGCGAAGCUCUUGAUCGAAGCCCCGGUAAACGGCGGCCGUAACUAUAACGGUCCUAAGGUAGCGAAAUUCCUUGUCGGGUAAGUUCCGACCUGCACGAAUGGCGUAAUGAUGGCCAGGCUGUCUCCACCCGAGACUCAGUGAAAUUGAACUCGCUGUGAAGAUGCAGUGUACCCGCGGCAAGACGGAAAGACCCCGUGAACCUUUACUAUAGCUUGACACUGAACAUUGAGCCUUGAUGUGUAGGAUAGGUGGGAGGCUUUGAAGUGUGGACGCCAGUCUGCAUGGAGCCGACCUUGAAAUACCACCCUUUAAUGUUUGAUGUUCUAACGUUGACCCGUGAUCCGGGUUGCGGACAGUGUCUGGUGGGUAGUUUGACUGGGGCGGUCUCCUCCUAAAGAGUAACGGAGGAGCACGAAGGUUGGCUAAUCCUGGUCGGACAUCAGGAGGUUAGUGCAAUGGCAUAAGCCAGCUUGACUGCGAGCGUGACGGCGCGAGCAGGUGCGAAAGCAGGUCAUAGUGAUCCGGUGGUUCUGAAUGGAAGGGCCAUCGCUCAACGGAUAAAAGGUACUCCGGGGAUAACAGGCUGAUACCGCCCAAGAGUUCAUAUCGACGGCGGUGUUUGGCACCUCGAUGUCGGCUCAUCACAUCCUGGGGCUGAAGUAGGUCCCAAGGGUAUGGCUGUUCGCCAUUUAAAGUGGUACGCGAGCUGGGUUUAGAACGUCGUGAGACAGUUCGGUCCCUAUCUGCCGUGGGCGCUGGAGAACUGAGGGGGGCUGCUCCUAGUACGAGAGGACCGGAGUGGACGCAUCACUGGUGUUCGGGUUGUCAUGCCAAUGGCACUGCCCGGUAGCUAAAUGCGGAAGAGAUAAGUGCUGAAAGCAUCUAAGCACGAAACUUGCCCCGAGAUGAGUUCUCCCUGACCCUUUAAGGGUCCUGAAGGAACGUUGAAGACGACGACGUUGAUAGGCCGGGUGUGUAAGCGCAGCGAUGCGUUGAGCUAACCGGUACUAAUGAACCGUGAGGCUUAACCUUACAACGCCGAAG
rnacentral:rRNA from 1 species